rnacentral:lncRNA from 1 species
GUUACCAGAACAAUAUGUCUGUCUUGGUUCAGAAGUGUGUUGCCAGGGUUACCAGAACAAUAUGUCUGUCUUGGUUCAGAAGAGUGUAGCCAGAACAAUAUGUCUGUCUGGUCAGAGUGUAGCCAGGGUUACCAGAACAAUAUGUCUGUCUGGUUCAGAUGUGUGCCAGGGUUACCAGAACAAUAUGUCUGUCUUGGUUCAGAGUGUAGCCAGGGUUACCAGAACAAUAUGUCUUGGUUCAGAGUGUAGCCAGGGUACCAGAAACAAUAGUCUUGGUUCAGAGUGUAGCCAGGGUUACCAGAACAAUAUGUCUGUCUUGGUUCAGAGUGUAGCCAGUGUUACCACAACAAUAUGUCUUGGUUCAGAUGUAGCCAGGGUAACCAGAAC